UACAGUGAUCAGGUUACGAUGGAUUGAAAAGUAAGAACCACAUAGCUUGGUCACGAUGUC
rnacentral:pre_miRNA from 1 species